ensembl:lncRNA
AUUUAUACGGCCCUUGAUGCAGCCCCUCAUCCUCUGUCUGAAACAAGCCUUUUUUGGACGGACCUCAGCCACACUGUUCACAUUAGUUUGGUUGCUCGUGGUUGUUCUCUCACGUGUUCCUGACGAGGCACGGCGCGUUGAUCCUUCCUCCUCGGCCCCCUCCACUUGGAGAAGAUGAUGAGUGAGACCUGAGAAGGAGAUCACCUGUUUAUCGUGUCUGUUGAAAGUUGGACAUGCGCAGUAUGGAACACACACGGCUCACUGGAGGGAACGUUACAGCUGCAAACGUAAGUGUAGAAAUGAUCAGCUCUCUGUCUCGCGAAGACCCGCGGGACCUUUUCCCAGGCCCAGAGAACUUCUUGCGACGAAAUGCGGUCUGGCGAAUCUGUCAUGGUGUUUCGGAAGAGGAAACUGUAGUCUCAAAAUCAACAAGCAGUUU